UACGGAAGGGGCUAGCGUUACUCGGAAUUACUGGGCGUAAAGCGCACGUAGGCGGCUUUGUAAGUAAGAGGUGAAAGCCCGGAGCUCAACUCCGGAACUGCCUUUUAGACUGCAUCGCUUGAAUCCAGGAGAGGUGAGUGGAAUUCCGAGUGUAGAGGUGAAAUUCGUAGAUAUUCGGAAGAACACCAGUGGCGAAGGCGGCUCACUGGACUGGUAUUGACGCUGAGGUGCGAAAGCGUGGGGAGCAAACAGG
rnacentral:rRNA from 1 species